rnacentral:rRNA from 1 species
AGUGCACGCUGGCGGUAGGCCUAACACAUGCAAGUCGAACGAGUGGCGGACGGGUGAGGAAUACAUCGGAAUCUACUCUGUCGUGGGGGAUAACGUAGGGAAACUUACGCUAAUACCGCUUACGCUUGAAUGCGCCGAUGCCGGAUUAGCUAGUUGGCGGGGUAAAGGCCACGCAAGGCGACGAUCCGUAGCUGGUCUGAGAGGGUGAUCAGCCACACUGGAACUAGGGCACGGUCCAGACUCCUACGGGAGGGAGCAGUGGGGAAUGUUAGACAAUGGGCGAAAGCCUGAUCCAGCCAUACCGCGUGGGUGAAGGAGGUCUUCGGUUUGUAAAACCCUUUUGUUGGGAAAGCGGUACCCAAAGAAUAAGCUCCGGCUAACUGCGUGCCAGCCGCCGCGGUAAUAC